AGUGAACGCUGGCGGUAGGCCUAACACAUGCAGGUCGAACGGCAGCACAGUAAGAGCUUGCUCUUACGGGUGGCGAGUGGCGGACGGGUGAGGAAUACAUCGGAAUCUACUUUUUCGUGGGGGAUAACGUAGGGAAACUUACGCUAAUACCGCAUACGACCUACGGGUGAAAGCAGGGGAUCUUCGGACCUUGCGCGAUUGAAUGAGCCGAUGUCGGAUUAGCUAGUUGGCGGGGUAAAGGCCCACCAAGGCGACGAUCCGUAGCUGGUCUGAGAGGAUGGUAGGCCACAUGGGAACGGAGACAGGGACACGGCUCCUACGGGAGGCAGAAGGGGGGAAUAUAGGAAAAGGGGGGCAAGCUUGAACCAGCCAUACCGGGGGGGUGAAGAAGGCCUUCGGGUGGGAAACCCCUUUUGUGGGGAAAAAAAAGAGGCGGUUUAAACCCCCGGUGUUUGACGGGAACCAAAAAAAAAGCCCCGGCUAACUUCGUG
rnacentral:rRNA from 1 species